rnacentral:rRNA from 1 species
GACGAACGCUGGCGGCGUGCUUCCCACAUGCAAGUCGAACGUGAUUUUUGUGGAAAUUCUUUCGGGAAUGGAAAUGAAAUGAAAGUGGCGAACGGGUGAGUAACACGUGAGCAACCUACCUUACACAGGGGGAUAGCCGUUGGAAACGACGAUUAAUACCGCAUGAGACCACAGAAUCGCAUGAUAUAGGGGUCAAAGAUUUAUCGGUGUAAGAAGGGCUCGCGUCUGAUUAGCUAGUUGGAAGGGUAAAGGCCUACCAAGGCGACGAUCAGUAGCCGGUCUGAGAGGAUGAACGGCCACAUUGGAACUGAGACACGGUCCAAACUCCUACGGGAGGCAGCAGUGGGGAAUAUUGCACAAUGGGGGGAACCCUGAUGCAGCGACGCCGCGUGAGCGAAGAAGGUUUUCGAAUCGUAAAGCUCUGUCCUAUGAGAAGAUAAUGACGGUAUCAUAGGAGGAAGCCCCGGCUAAAUACGUGCCAGCAGCCGCGGUAAUACGUAUGGGGCGAGCGUUGUCCGGAAUUAUUGGGCGUAAAGGGUACGUAGGCGGUUUUUUAAGUCAGGUGUGAAAGCGUGAGGCUUAACCUCAUUAAGCUCUUGGAAACUGGAAGACUUGAGUGAAGGAGAGGAGAGUGGAAUUCCGAGUGUAGCGGUGAAAUGCGUAGAUAUUUGGAGGAAUACCGGGUGGCGAAUGCGACUUUCGGGACUUUACUGUCUCUCAUGUGCGAAAGCGUGGGGAGCAACAUG